GGAAAUUAGGUGCGCUUGGCGUUUUAGUACUCUGGAAACAGAAUCUACUAAAACAAGGCAAAAUGCCGUGUUU
rnacentral:misc_RNA from 1 species